GACGAACGCUGGCGGCGUGCUUAACACAUGCAAGUCGAACGGAAAGGCCCUGCUUUUGUGGGGUGCUCGAGUGGCGAACGGGGGAGUAACACGUGAGUAACCUGCCCUUGACUUUGGGAUAACUUCAGGAAACUGGGGCUAAUACCGGAUAGGAGCUCCUGCUGCAUGGUGGGGGUUGGAAAGUUUCGGCGGUUGGGGAUGUACUCGCGGCUUAUCAGCUUGUUGGUGGGGUAGUGGCUUACCAAGGCUUUGACGGGUAGCCGGCCUGAGAGGGUGACCGGCCACAUUGGGACUGAGAUACGGCCCAGACUCCUACGGGAGGCAGCAGUGGGGAAUAUUGCACAAUGGGCGGAAGCCUGAUGCAGCAACGCCGCGUGCGGGAUGACGGCCUUCGGGUUGUAAACCGCUUUCGCCUGUGACGAAGCGUGAGUGACGGUAAUGGGUAAAGAAGCACCGGCUAACUACGUG
rnacentral:rRNA from 1 species